GGCUCCCUGUAAUAUAGGAGAUAGGGAGUCGGACCUGCCCAGUGAAUUUUUUUAACGGCCGCGGUUCUCUGACCGUGCAAAGGUAGCAUAAUCAUUUGCCUUAUAACUGAAGGCUAGUAUGAAUGGUUUGACAAGAAUGUGACUGUCUCUUUGUAAUUAAUGAGAAUUUUAUUUCCAGGUGAAGAAGCCUGUAUAUAAUUGAAAGACAAGAAGACCCUAUCGAGCUUAAAAGAAGUUAGUAAGUGUAACUUUUAAUGAAAUAUUAAUAUUCUCUAUCAAAACUUUUAGUUGGGGCGUCUGAGGCACAAGAAAAGCUUCCUUCCCUUUUAAAAAUUAAAGCAUACAGCAGUUGACCCAACAACUUGGACCAAAGGAAAAAGUUACCGUAGGGAUAACAGCCCAAUCCUUUUGGAGAGUCCAUAUCGACAAUAAGGUUUGCGACCUCGAUGUGGGUGCAGAAAUCCAAAG
rnacentral:rRNA from 1 species